rnacentral:rRNA from 1 species
AGUGGGGGUAGACGCGAAACCGUGUGAUCUAUCCAUGGGCAGGUUGAAGGUUGGAUAAUCUCUAACUGGAGGACCGAACUGGUGAAUGUUGAAAAAUUCUCGGAUGACCUGUGGAUAGGGGGUGAAAGGCCAAUCAAACUCGGAGAUAGCUCGUACUCCCCGAAAUGCAUUUAGGUGCAGCGUCGUGUAGUGAUUGUUGGAGGUAAAGCUACUGAGAAGGCUAGGGGGCUUCACCGCCUACCAACCCUUAACAAACUCUGAAUGCCAACAAUUAGCAGCGGCAGUGAGCCCCAGGGUGCGAAGGUCAUGGGGCGAGAGGGGAACAACCCAGACCAUCAGCUAAGGUCCCUAAAUAUAGUUAAGUUGCAUUAAACGAGGUGGGAAUGCAGUGACAGCUAGGAUGUUUGCUUGGAAGCAGCAAUUCAUUUAAAGAGUGCGUAACAGCUCACUAGUCGAGCGUUCCUGCGCGGAAAAUAAGCGGGC